GGGGCCGGGCGGAUAGAGGCCCAGGCCGGGGAUAAAGCCGAUUGGUGUGGCAGCACGUCCCGCCACUGGCUUUUGUGAUCCGAGAGGCAGACACAUUCUAUCAUCUCGGCUAAUCCUCCUCCGAUACAGGAUUUUCCUGCCAUUAAAUCUGGAGGAAGGAAAUAAGCGCUCAAAGCGGCACAAGCAACUCUUCCUCCUGCCCCCGCCCCCCUUCUCUGUGGGAGGAUUUUCAGCAGCGUUGGCUGCCUGACCUGGGAGAUGGAUGAGCCCGGGGAGCCCAAGGGAGCCUCGCAGGAGGAGGGGACCAGGCCGACCCCCCAGGCCGGCAGGGACCCAGCGGGGCGGCUGUAACCCACAGGCGCUGCGGCUCACGGGAUGCUGGCCCUGCUGCUGCCGGCACUGCUCCUCGGAGGGGUGGGCGCCGGCGCCCCGGAGGCCUGCA